rnacentral:misc_RNA from 1 species
GUUUAAUAUAAACAGAUCAAAAUGGCUGACACUUCAACUUCAAAGUAUCUUUGAAGAAAUUGGUGAGGGUGAACACUUGGAACAAGUCAGACGAAGUACUAGGGGCAAACGACCAAGGCAAGCCUUGCUAUUUGGAGAUAUUGAGACAGAGUCCUCCGCAUCCAUCAGUGAGGAGGAGACAGCUCCUACUCGGGGAGGAGAUGGCCGAGGAAGAGGUAGAGGCAGAGGUAGAGGGCGUGGACGGGGUGGAAGAAAGGGUGGCCGUGUACAAAGAGGUCAACAUUUUGAGGAAGACGAGGAGCAGCGAUUGAUCCGUUUGAAUGAAGAAAGAAAAGAGACUACAGAUGGAUGUUUAAUUAUUCUUCAGAAUGAUCGACAGUUUGACAAAAGAACAGUCGAAAACUAUGCUGAAGGAGGUAGCUGCAAGACAGCCUGCAGUUAUCUUGGAUAUUGCAGCUAUCUUGUCAGAAAGUUCAGAGGCACCACAAGAGCCAGAACCCUCUAGCCAUCAGCCAAGUUGGUGUAUUUGUUCGAGGUGUCCACAAAUGGAUAGAGACGAGGAUAACUGCAACAGUUUGAGGCCUGAAAUGGGACUGGUUGUAACUGACCCGCUGACACUACACAUCCAACAGACAUUCGGGGAUGAUGUGUUAGCUCUUCGUGAUGAAACAAUAGAAGACACAAACAAGGGAAUGCGCCAUGCUGCCUACCGCCAAUAUGUACUGUGGAUUUAUGGAAGGCUCCAGCAAGACGACAGGAGAACAGUUCUUGCAUGUUGUGUAAAAAUUAUCCGGGACAAAUUUCCAAGCCCAACAAGACACUACACUGGGUUUAUUGCAGCACGUGGCAUUGGGUGGUAGAUGCAUGAUGAUAUGCAGAAAUGUAACUGAUUGAUUUUCAGCAAACUUAGCAGGAAAUAUCAGUAUCUAAUUCUGUUCAACAUAAUGAUCUUAGAAAUAAAAGGGACAUGAUGACCCUGGAUCGCUUACCUGAGUGAUAUGAGCUUAUUGUUUCAAACCUUCUGCAUGCAGUAGGGGCUGCAUUUUUCAUUGAAUGUGCAUGAAACUUGGUCACAAUGUUUGUCUGCAUGAAAUCUCAGAAGAAUUUUUGUCUGAGUAAUAUAGGGUAAAAAACUAGGUCAACAGAUCAAAUAAAAGAAUAAGCUUGUUUACACCCUAGGGGACACAAUUUUUUUAUUCUAUCUUGAUAAAGCAUGGUCAGAAUGUUUUUAAUCAUGAAGUCUUGGAUGAAUUCAAAUGUUGGUCAUGUGGGUUCAGAAACUAGGUCACUAGGUCAAAUCAAAGGAAAAGCUUUUAUACAUGUUAGAGACCACUUUUUUGCCCCCCCCGUCAUCCUGAAACUGACAGAAUGUUUUGUUUUCGUGAAAUUUGGGAAAAAUUCAAAUCUGGGUUUCGAGGUAAAAAACUUGCUCACUAGGUCAAAUCAAAGAAAAUACUACUCAAGAGGCCACGUUCUUUAGUCCAGUAUUAAUGAAAACUGUUCAGAAUAUUUGUCGAAAUGUAAUCAAUAGGUAAAACAUGUUUACACUGUUGUGAUGUGUUACUCAGGUGAGCGGCCUAGGGCCAUCUUGGCUUUCUUGUUUUGCAUUAAUGAAGGCUGUUAUAUGUGCUCAUGUAAGAAAAAAGACCGCUUUGAUUUUCUAACUACUGUACAUAUUUCUUUCAUUAUGGUGCCUAAACUAAAAACAAACUACAGUUUUUCAGAGUGCAAGGACACAUUCAUAGAUAAAUUUUAUGACAGUCUGUAUCACCUAUUAGUAUUUCAGGGGCUAUCCAUCAUUAUCGGAGAUGAUUUUUAUUCUUGUUUAUUGAUUUGUCACAGCCUAUGCAUGUAUAUAUAGAGCAGGAAUAGAGUGGUUAGUAAUCAGAUUUGAUUACUGUAAAUGUGUACAAAUAUAUGUGGGUUGUUUAUUCUGCAUUUUUAUGCCCCCGUAUUCAAUGGAUCGGGGCAUUUUUUUCAUCUGUCUGUCCCAAUUGCUGAUUAUAAAAUUCAAGUGCUACAUCACCUACCCAUAUUCAGGUCAGUAGGUAAAAGGUCAAGGUCAUCAUGACCUAGUAAACAUUAUCAAAAACUUUCAUGUGUCCAUUUGCAAGAUUCUUUGGACCUGCAAUCAUCAAACUUCAUAUGUUCGUUCCUCAUGGUAUGUUCUAUGGCAGCUGCCCAUAUUGAGGUCUGAAGGUCAAGGUCAGCAUGGCCUCUAAUUAAAGAGUUUAACCUUGCCUGUAAAACAAGAACGCUUCCAACUAGGAUCAGCAACUUCACACAAAGGUUUCCCAUGGAAAGUGCCACAGGACCAACCUAUUUUGAGGUCAAAGGUCACUAAAGCACUCUCAAGUCAGGACAACCGACUUAUUAUGAAUUCUUUACUUCAAUGGCAUUUUGUUCCAAUUACAUUUAUUCCAGAAUUAUAGAAUGUCAGGGAACCUUUUAAUUCUUUCAUUCGCCCAGUGUAAUUCACCAAGAUACAGGAAUUCGCAAGGCAGUAGUUUUGAAAAUAGAUAUUUACAAUUCUGUUCAGUAUAAAACUGUUAUUUAUAAUUGACCAAGUGUAAAAAUUUUUCUGUAUAUAAAUAAAUUUCUUAAUUG